CAGAGGUCUGCAGUGAGCCGAGAUUGGCCACUGCAGUGAGCCGAGAUUGGCCACUGCACUCCAGCCUGGGUGACAGAGUGAGACCCUAUCUCAAAAAAAAAAGUGGGGGCUGGGGGAGAGAGUAGCAUUUGAAAGAGUAGACUGAGUGAAGAAGAUCACCCUCACCACUGUGGGCGGCCACCAUUCAAUCCAUUGAGGGCCCAAAUAAAACAAGGAGGAAAAAGGUAAAAUUUGCUUUCUGCUUGAUCCCGUAUGUCCAUCUUCGCCUGCCCUUGGACAUCAGAGGCCCUGGCUCUCGGGCCUUCCAGCUUGGACUGGAACGACACUGGCUUUCCUGGGCCUCCCAGCUUGCAGACGGCAGAUUCUAGGACCCCUUGGCCUCCAGAAUUGCAUGAGCCAAUUCCCAUAAUACAGACGGCCCCCAACUUAUAAGGGUUCAACUGACAAUUUUUCAACCUUAUGACAGGUUUAUCGAGGUACUAAAGUUGUUUUCAACUUAGGAUGUGUUUAUUGGGAUGUAGCCUCAUUGUAAAUUGAGGGGCAUCUGUAAAUCUCAUUUUUAAUUUAAUUUUAUUUUAGAAACAGGGUCUCACUCUGUCACCGAGGCUGGAGUGCAGUGUUGCCAUCAAAGCUCACUGCAGCCUCGAACUCCCAGGCUCAAGCGAUCCUGCCGCCUCAGCCUCCGGAGCAUCUGGGACUACGGGCGUGCGCCAGCACACUUGGUAAUUUAGUUUUUUUUGUCUCACUAUGUUGCCCAGGCUGAUCUUGAACUCCUGGCCUAAAGUGAUUAUCCUGCCUCAGGCUCCCAAAGUGCUGGGAUUACAGGCAUGAACCGCAGUGCCCAGCCUAUAAAUCUAUAUAUCUAUACCUGCCUACCUAUCUACCUACCUAUCUGUAUCUCCUGUUGGUUCUGUUUCUCUGAAGAAUCCUGACUGAUACAGCACCCAAAAUAAGAAGCCAGCCUGGCCCACCUCUGCAGCCCACCCUGGCUACACCCCACCACUUGGAGCACACAAGCCCUCUGCCCUGUCCUGGAAGACCCCUCAACUGAUUCCCCUCCCAGGACCUUGGCACCUGCCUUUCCUCCCUCCAGCCCCCUCCCCAACCUCUGCACCUGCACCCAUCCUCUGUCGUUAUCCUCCGUCCACAGAAUCAGUGUUACUUCCAGGGACUAUUCUGACGUCAGACCCCUGCUUUCCUCCAUCAGCAGCUGCCACCCAUUUCUUUCCUGGCGUUUGUCACACCUCAAAGGAUUUUUGUUUCUUUGCCAUGAGCAAAAUCUCAUGGCUUUCGUUUGGGGAACCCCUGACAUCAGAGGCCUGAAAGGAGGACACAGUGCUGCUGGUUUAUUUGGGUAGUGGCCCCAGGAAGCUGGAGUGGGAGCUGGGAGAGAAGGGCAGGAGGCCAGUAGACAGGGCACAGCUGGC
rnacentral:lncRNA from 1 species